rnacentral:misc_RNA from 1 species
AGCAGAUGUCUUCCCUGUGCGGGCCGUCGAUGUCCGGGAAGCGCUCCUUGAGCACGGCGACGAUUUCCGCGGUGUCGUCGAUCGACAGCGUGGUCUGGGUCACGAAGGCCAGCUUCGAGGCAUCCUUCGGCUGGAAUGUGCGCGCCGCGUCCAUGGUCUCGAUCAGGACAACCGCGCCCUUCGGCAACUGGCCGAGGGUGCCGACCACUUCCGGAUGACCGGCAUGGCCGAUCAGGAUGAUUUCACGGCCGCGCUUGAAAUGGAUUGCCGCCUCGCGGUGGACCUUGGUCACCAGCGGGCAGGUCGCGUCCAGG